rnacentral:rRNA from 1 species
UACGUAGGGUGCAAGCGUUAAUCGGAAUUACUGGGCGUAAAGCGUGCGCAGGCGGCUUUGCAAGACAGAUGUGAAAUCCCCGGGCUCAACCUGGGAACUGCAUUUGUGACUGCAUGGCUAGAAUGCGGCAGAGGGGGAUGGAAUUCCGCGUGUAGCAGUGAAAUGCGUAGAUAUGCGGAGGAACACCGAUGGCGAGGGCAAUCCCCUGGGCCUGCACUGACGCUCAUGCACGAAAGCGUGGGGAGCAAACAGG